UUUCCCAAAAAAAGAUGGAGGGAUGGCUUUGGGGGCCUCCACUCCUUCAACUUACCAAUGUUUGCAAAGCAAUGGUGGCGCCUACUUGAUGAUCCAGAGUCCUUAUGUGCCACAGUUCUUCAUGCAACAUACUACCCCUCUGGAGACUUAUUAUCCGUGGGACUGAAAAAAGGCGCCUUGUUCACUUGGCAGAGCAUAUAUGCCGCAUUAAGACAUUUAAACAACAACAUAUUUGGAGAAUUCGGAAUGAAGAGAACGUGA
rnacentral:rRNA from 1 species